rnacentral:rRNA from 1 species
AGCGGCGGACGGGUGAGUAACGCGUGGGUAACCUGCCUCAUACAGGGGGAUAACAGUUAGAAAUGACUGCUAAUACCGCAUAAGACCACAGCACCGCAUGGUGCGGGGGUAAAAACUCCGGUGGUAUGAGAUGGACCCGCGUCUGAUUAGCUAGUUGGUAAGGUAACGGCUUACCAAGGCGACGAUCAGUAGCCGACCUAAGAGGGUGACCGGCCACAUUGGGACUGAGACACGGCCCAA